rnacentral:rRNA from 1 species
AUUGAACGCUGGCGGCAUGCCUUACACAUGCAAGUCGAACGGUAACGCGGGGCAACCUGGCGACGAGUGGCGAACGGGUGAGUAAUACAUCGGAACGUGCCCAGUAGUGGGGGAUAGCCCGGCGAAAGCCGGAUUAAUACCGCAUACGACCUACGGGUGAAAGGGGGGAUCGCAAGACCUCUCGCUAUUGGAGCGGCCGAUGUCAGAUUAGGUAGUUGGUGGGGUAAAGGCCUACCAAGCCGACGAUCUGUAGCUGGUCUGAGAGGACGACCAGCCACACUGGGACUGAGACACGGCCCAGACUCCUACGGGAGGCAGCAGUGGGGAAUAUUGGGCAAUGGAGGAAACUCUGACCCAGCGACGCCGCGUGCGGGAUGAAGGCCUGGUGUAACGCUUCAGCAGGAGAAUACGCACA